rnacentral:rRNA from 1 species
GAAGCGAAGUCGCGAGGCGGAGCGAACCUCAAAAACCGGUACCCAGUUCGGAUCGCGGGCUGCAACUCGCCCGCGUGAAGCCGGAGUUGCUAGUAAUCGCGGAUCAGAACGCCGCGGUGAAUGCGUUCCCGGGUCUUGUACACACCGCCCGUCACACCAUGGAAGUCGGGGGGCGCCCGAAGUCGGUCGAGAAAUAGGCUGCCUAAGGUGAAACCGAUGACUGGGGUGAAGUCGUAACAAGGUAAC